GUCUAUAAAAUGGCUCUUGAGGAGCUGAAGAGGGAAGCACUCGACUUACACCACUUCAAAGUGGACAUUCCUUUCAACAAAGGGCCUCCUUUGUUCUCAUAGCCCUGGACCUGGGAUUAGGAUGAUACUGGGAACAACCACAUGUUCAGCUGUACAAGAUCAAUUUACAGGAGAUCGUCACAUAAUUUAAAAAAUGAAAAGGGGUAAGUGGAAAGCAAGCCAAAAUCCUUGCAAGAAAUUUACGUCAGCAAUUCCAAAAAAGGGAACCGAGGACCGAAACCAUCCCUGAAACUAACCCAGAAGAAUUCAGGAGGGGCCAAAAGGAGGAGGGAGGAGAAAAUAUGUCCUGCCACCCUCCCAGAAGCCCUCACGCUGGAAUCCGUCUUGGCUGAGAGAUGCACGCCACCAGGAAGGACCCUGAGUCAGACCAACUACGGGCAAAGCAAGAUGAUUGGCCAGAAACAACCCGGAAGCUAACCCCCUUACCAUCAAAGCUGAGACUGUGAGUCACGUGGCAGAGCAGUUCUCCUGGGUUCCCUUACCCUCCUGCUUUCCCCCCAGGCACCCCUUCCCAAUAAAGUCUCUUGCUUUGUCAACA